AUCAUAUCGGUAGGUGAGGCUACCGCAGGGAUACGGGUUGCUGCCGCGGAGUAGUGGAGACACUAUGAGAAGGUAAACAGUCCAUGUCGAAUCCAAGGCAUGGAAUAAUGCAAUUUCAUGGCCCUGCGGAGUUAAAGCUUGGACGAUGA
rnacentral:sRNA from 1 species